rnacentral:rRNA from 1 species
CAGCAGUGGGGAAUAUUGGACAAUGGGCGAAAGCCUGAUCCAGCAAUGCCGCGUGAGUGAUGAAGGCCUUAGGGUUGUAAAGCUCUUUUACCCGGGAAGAUAAUGACUGUACCGGGAGAAUAAGCCCCGGCUAACUCCGUGCCAGCAGCCGCGGUAAUACGGAGGGGGCUAGCGUUGUUCGGAAUUACUGGGCGUAAAGCGCACGUAGGCGGCUUUGUAAGUUAGAGGUGAAAGCCCGGAGCUCAACUCCGGAAUUGCCUUUAAGACUGCAGAGCUAGCAGGUGAGAGAGGUGAGUGGAAUUCCGAGUGUAGAGGUGAAAUUCGUAGAUAUUCGGAAGAACACCAGUGGCGAAGGCGGCUCACUGGCUCAUACUGGACGCUGAGGUGCGAAAGCGUGGGGAGCAAACAGGAUUAGA